GAUGAACGCUGGCGGCGUGCUUAACACAUGCAAGUCGAACGGUAAAGGCGGAGCUUGCUCUGCUGGAUCAGUGGCGAACGGGUGAGUAACACGUGAGCAAUCUGCCCCUGACUCUGGGAUAAGCGCGGGAAACGGCGUCUAAUACUGGAUACGAGCUGCGAAGGCAUCUUCAGCAGCUGGGAAGAAUUUCGGUCAGGGAUGAGCUCGCGGCCUAGCAGCUUGUUGGUGAGGUAAUGGCUCACCAAGGCGUCGACGGGUAGCCGGCCUGGGAGGGUGACCGGCCACAAUGGGACUGAGACACGGCCCAGACUCCUAAGGGAGGCAGCAGUGGGGAAUAUUGCACCAUGGGCGAAAGCCUGAUGCAGCAACGCCGCGUGAGGGAAGACGGCCUUCGGGUUGUAAACCUCUUUUAGCAGGGAAGAAGCGAAAGUGACGGUACCUGCAGAAAAAGCGCCGGCUAACUACGUG
rnacentral:rRNA from 1 species